CAUAACCUCGGGAAACUGGGGAUAAUACCCUAUAGGUUACAGAUGCUGGAAUGCUCUGUAACUCAAAGCUCCGGCGCCUUAGGAUGGAUCUGCGGCCGAUUAGGUUGUUGUUGGGGUAACGGCCCAACAAGCCAGUAAUCGGUACGGGUUGUGGGAGCAAGAGCCCGGAGUUGGAUUCUGAGACACGAAUCCAGGCCCUACGGGGCGCAGCAGGCGCGAAAACUUUACAAUGCGGGCAACCGUGAUAAGGGAACCUCGAGUGCCUGUAUAUGCAGGCUGUCCAGGUGUCUAAAGCACACCUGAAGAAAGGGCCGGGCAAGACCGGUGCCAGCCGCCGCGGUAAUACCGGCGGCUCGAGUGGUGGCCACUUUUAUUGGGCUUAAAGCGUUCGUAGCUGGGUUGUUAAGUCUCUUGGGAAAUCCGACGGCUCAACCGUCGGGCGUCUAAGGGAUACUGGCAAUCUUGGAACCGGGAGAGGUGAGGGGUACUUCGGGGGUAGGAGUGAAAUCCUGUAAUCCUCGAGGGACCACCUGUGGCGAAGGCGCCUCACCAGAACGGCUUCGACAGUGAGGGACGAAAGCUGGGGGAGCAAACCGGAUUAGAUACCCGGGUAGUCCCAGCCGUAAACGAUGCGCGUUAGGUGUAUCGACGACCACGAGUCGUCGAGGUGCCGAAGGGAAACCGUGAAACGUGCCGCCUGGGAAGUACGGUCGCAAGGCUGAAACUUAAAGGAAUUGGCGGGGGAGCACCACAACAGGUGGAGCCUGCGGUUUAAUUGGACUCAACGCCGGAAAUCUCACCGGAUAAGACAGCGGAAUGAUUGCCGGGCUGAAGACUCUGCAUGACUAGCUGAGAGGAGGUGCAU
rnacentral:rRNA from 1 species